rnacentral:rRNA from 1 species
UCGUAAGACCUCGCGCUCAAGGGGCGGCCGAUGGCAGAUUAGGUAGUUGGUGGGGUAAAGGCCUACCAAGCCGACGAUCUGUAGCUGGUCUGAGAGGACGACCAGCCACACUGGGACUGAGACACGGCCCAGACUCCUACGGGAGGCAGCAGUGGGGAAUUUUGGACAAUGGGCGCAAGCCUGAUCCAGCAAUGCCGCGUGUGUGAAGAAGGCCUUCGGGUUGUAAAGCACUUUUGUCCGGGAAGAAAUCCCUGGUCCUAAUAUGGCCGGGGGAUGACGGUACUGGAAGAAUAAGCACCGGCUAACUACGUGCCAGCAGCCGCGGUAAUACGUAGGGUGCGAGCGUUAAUCGGAAUUACUGGGCGUAAAGCGUGCGCAGGCGGUGAUGUAAGACCGAUGUGAAAUCCCCGGGCUUAACCUGGGAACUGCAUUGGUGACUGCAUCGCUCGAGUAUGGCAGAGGGGGGUAGAAUUCCACGUGUAGCAGUGAAAUGCGUAGAGAUGUGGAGGAAUACCGAUGGCGAAGGCAGCCCCCUGGGUCAAUACUGACGCUCAUG